GAGUUGGUUUGUCUAUAAUGUCUGACUUUAGCGUCGAGCUAGCCGUGAAGACAGGUGAGUUGGUUUGUCUAUAAUGUCUGACUUUAGCGUCGAGCUAGCCGUGAAGACAGGUGAGUUGGUUUGUCUAUAUUGUCUGACUUUAGCGUCGAGCUAGCCGUGAAGACAGGUGAGUUGGUUUGUCCAUAUCGUCUGACUUUAGCGUCGAGCUAGCCGUGAAGACAGGUGAGUUGGUUUGUCCAUAUCGUCUGACUUUAGCGUCGAGCUAGCCGUGAAGACAGGUGAGUUGGUUUGUCUAUGUUGUCUGACUUUGUUUCUACUUUGUUUAUGUGUUUGUGUGUAUUUGCAUCUUCUCAUGGGGAGUUUGGUAUUUUUCUGUGUCUUUAGAUCCCAUCACUUCCUUACCGACGAACAGGUGGGCUCAGUCAGGUAAAUUCACAGAAUGUGAAUACAGUAGUUCUACUGCAGGGUUGGGCAACUGUGUGGAAUGCCUUUUGAAGGCCCUCGGAUUAAUAACACAAAUAUUAUAAUAAUAAAAAGAUAAUAUACAUAUUUUUUUUAACUCAGUCGGGGUCUCAACUUACUGUUGCUAGGUAGAAUAGUAGAAUACACAAGGUGCAAUUUGAAGAUGUGGUUGUCCAUCAGCAGUUUUUCUCUUGUUGUCAGUCACUGAUAGUCUCUUAAUUAGUCAUGUCAGAUUGCUAACUAAGUCUAACGGCCACCUAUCUAAAUUUAGGAAUCAUGGUGGAAUUACCAGCCAGGGGGCCCCAUUGACUUUGUUAUUCAGUCUCACUCAGAUAUUAUAUUAAAAACUACAAACAUUUCUCUCCACUCUAUGGCAAAAUGUGUAGAAUUACACCAAAUGAACUCUAAAAUAUAAAGAAAUGUCUCUCUAAUGUCAAGAGGGGGGCUGCUAAACUGUUUUGCUGACAAUGUGGUAGUGGUGGGGGUUAUGCACAUGUAGGUAUCAAACCCGCGAGCCACUCACAUUGAGUUCAGAUUCUUUGUGACCCCCCCACCCCAUCAAAGUUGCCCAUCCCUGCUCUAAUGAAUGAAAUCCAAAGAAAUUCUACAAUUUACUUUUCAAUUUUUUUUCAAACCUUGAAAUAAGAGACAAAAUAUCACAUUUUCCCCUCGAAUUUCCAUGUUCAAUUGAUAUCCUACUUGAUUGGAAUUGUAGCAGAAGAGAGUGACUUUGUCCUUUAAAAUAAUAAUAAUAAUAAUAUUCUACUGUGUAUGACAGUUGAUGUCUGUAAUUUUCCCUCCUAGGUCUUCCUGAGGGACAUCUUGUUGUCCUCGUCUGCUCUGUGUUGGUCAGCACCUGGGGAUGAAUAGCACAAAUACUGUGAAAAUAAAGAACAGAUUGAGAUUACAUUUUUUUAUAUAAAUAUUGUAAUUAGAAAUAAUAAAGAAUAUACGCUUCAUAAA
rnacentral:lncRNA from 1 species